AUAAAAUCAUUGAGGAAGAAGAGUACAGGCAGUUUCCUUUAAGAGAGAGCAGUUCAUUGGCUGUAAGGCUGCUUAAGCAGAAAUGUCUGGAAGGUAGCUUCUAAGAUGCAACUCUGAGAAACGUUCGUAUUAGGAGUUGCCGGGUUGUUCCGUUAAAGAUACAAAGAGAAAAGGAUCGUAGAUCCUGAAACAAAAAAGGUGGUACCGCGUAGAAUAUUCGCCCUUUAC
rnacentral:ncRNA from 1 species